AUUGAACGCUGGCGGCAGGCCUAACACAUGCAAGUCGAGCGGAUGAAGGGAGCUUGCUCCUGGAUUCAGCGGCGGACGGGUGAGUAAUGCCUAGGAAUCUGCCUGGUAGUGGGGGAUAACGUCCGGAAACGGGCGCUAAUAUCGCAUACGUCCUGAGGGAGAAAGUGGGGGAUCUUCGGACCUCACGCUAUCAGAUGAGCCUAGGUCGGAUUAGCUAGUUGGUGGGGUAAAGGCCUACCAAGGCGACGAUCCGUAACUGGUCUGAGAGGAUGAUCAGUCACACUGGAACUGAGACACGGUCCAGACUCCUACGGGAGGCAGCAGUGGGGAAUAUUGGACAAUGGGCGAAAGCCUGAUCCAGCCAUGCCGCGUGUGUGAAGAAGGUCUUCGGAUUGUAAAGCACUUUAAGUUGGGAGGAAGGACAGUAAGUUAAUACCUUGCUGUUUUGACGUUACCAACAGAAUAAGCACCGGCUAACUUCGUG
rnacentral:rRNA from 1 species